rnacentral:rRNA from 1 species
UGUGGAAUUCGCCCUUGUGCCAGCCGCCCCGUUAAUACGUAGGUGGCAAGCGUUGUCCGGAAUUAUUGGGCGUAAAGGGCUCGCAGGCGGUUUCUUAAGUCUGAUGUGAAAGCCCCCGGCUCAACCGGGGAGGGUCAUUGGAAACUGGGGAACUUGAGUGCAGAAGAGGAGAGUGGAAUUCCACGUGUAGCGGUGAAAUGCGUAGAGAUGUGGAGGAACACCAGUGGCGAAGGCGACUCUCUGGUCUGUAACUGACGCUGAGGAGCGAAAGCGUGGGGAGCGAACAGGAUUAGAUACCCUGGUAGUCCACGCCGUAAACGAUGAGUGCUAAGUGUUAGGGGGUUUCCGCCCCUUAGUGCUGCAGCUAACGCAUUAAGCACUCCGCCUGGGGAGUACGGUCGCAAGACUGAAACUCAAAGGAAUUGACGGGGGCCCGCACAAGCGGUGGAGCAUGUGGUUUAAUUCGAAGCAACGCGAAGAACCUUACCAGGUCUUGACAUCCUCUGACAAUCCUAGAGAUAGGACGUCCCCUUCGGGGGCAGAGUGACAGGUGGUGCAUGGUUGUCGUCAGCUCGUGUCGUGAGAUGUUGGGUUAAGUCCCGCAACGAGCGCAACCCUUGAUCUUAGUUGCCAGCAUUCAGUUGGGCACUCUAAGGUGACUGCCGGUGACAAACCGGAGGAAGGUGGGGAUGACGUCAAAUCAUC